rnacentral:rRNA from 1 species
AUACGUAGGGAGCGAGCGUUGUCCGGAAUUACUGGGUGUAAAGGGUGCGUAGGCGGGACAGCAAGUCAGGCGUGAAAUACCGGGGCUUAACUUCGGGGCUGCGCUUGAAACUGUUGUUCUUGAGUGAAGUAGAGGCAGGCGGAAUUCCUAGUGUAGCGGUGAAAUGCGUAGAUAUUAGGAGGAACACCAGUGGCGAAGGCGGCCUGCUGGGCUUUAACUGACGCUGAGGCACGAAAGCAUGGGGAGCAAACAGGAUUAGAUACCCUGGUAGUCCAUGCCGUAAACGAUGAUAGCUAGGUGUGGGGGGACUGACCCCUUCCGUGCCGGAGUUAACACAAUAAGCUAUCCACCUGGGGAGUACGACCGCAGGGUUAAA